CACGCCGUAAACGAUGAUCACUCGUGAUUGGCGAUACACUGUCAGUCACCUAGCGAAAGCGUUAAGUGAUCCACCUGGGGAGUACGAUCGCAAGAUUGAAACUCAAAGGAAUUGACGGGGGCCCGCACAAGCGGUGGAGCAUGUGGUUUAAUUCGAUGAUACGCGAGGAACCUUACCAGGGCUUGAACGUACGUUGACAGGGGCGGAAACGUCCUCUUCUUCGGACAACGUGCGAGGUGC
rnacentral:rRNA from 1 species